ensembl:snoRNA SNORA33 small nucleolar RNA, H/ACA box 33
AAGCCAGCCAAUAAAUCUGCUUACCUGAAUGUGUUUCUGCAGAAAUUUAGAGAAAGCUGGCAAUAGUAAAGCCAUGUUACGAGCCUUAAAGGCAUUGAAGUCGUUAAGGUCCCUGAAAAUGGCUACAAGA